UCUGGCUUGGCAAUUUUUCCCUUUUCUGGGUUCACCUAUAUGUGGGACUAGCUUGAGCCCUAAUUAGUUCUGGAGGUAAUGCGCAUCCUUCCCAAUAAGCCACUACAGCCCUUUUCCAAACAUCAGCCCAUUCACAUCCCUGUUCAGGGUCUCUCUCCCCUUCUUAUUAGUGAUUUUUUGUUUGUCUUAAUUCUUUAUUAUAUUUUGACUUCUACAAUAUAAUAUCUACUGCUUUUGCUUUCAUGUUUGAUUGCUUGGUUUGUCUUGAUCAGUCAGCUUGCGGUCAUGGUCCACGCCGCUCUGUGUAUGUGUGACUGUUUUGGUGCUGCUGGCUGGCAAUCGCUCUCUUUUAGUGCUCUGUGUUCCUCCCCUCUGCACUCAUACGUUUCCUUCCUUUUUUCCUUUUUCUCCAGAGUGCGGCUCCGCUGAUUGGCCGGUGUCAUCAUAUGACACGGCUGCUUCAGCGCUAAGGAGUGUGGGAAUUGUAGGCAUCUCAGCGACCAUGUGACCUCUGAGAUCCAAUCGCGAUGCACCCGCCUCCCCAACAGGCUAUAUAUAGCAUGAUAUGAUCAUUAUCUGUCUGCUACCAACAGGGUACUGACAGAUGUCUUUAUUCCUCUUAAAGAUAGGAGAUUAUCUGUGGACUUUUCAGCUGCAAUUGACUGGUCCUUGAUUUUUGCUGCAAACGACUAUCCUUUGACUUUCUAUCACCAGCUGAUGUUUGCUUGCACUCAGACUGUUCAUCUAGUUAAAUACUCCAUAUGAAUUGAGGCUCUUCAGUGCCCAUGUUAUUGUCUUACUUAAUUCCCCUGUAUUCACCUUGAUUUUAUUACGCUUCAAGUCCUGUCAGUUGAACUUGGAUUUCAAUAUCCACCCUGAGGGGGUUUUUCCUUGACUGGCUGUGCAUGAAGCUAGGAGUAAUCUAGAGAGACGAUCUUGUCCUAAUUCCCCUGAAGAAGCCAAGUUGGCGAAACUAGUAGGGUCGACCUGAUCGAAAAAAUUAUUUCUAGAUCUUGCUCCCACAAAAUAAUCUAUGCACUAUCUGUAUAUUGAAUUACUAUAUUUUGUAAAAAUUGAAUGAAUAAACCUUUUUUAUAUAUUUUUAUAUAUACAUACAUACUUUGUCUGGUUUUCUUCAUCGCACCGCAAUAAUCCCCCCAACUCUUCCAAAAAAUUC